rnacentral:rRNA from 1 species
CAAUAGCGUAUACUAAAGUUGUUGCAGUUAAAAAGCUCGUAGUUGGAUUUCUGUGCAUCGGUUGUUGGGCUACGCUUAUGGUGUGGUCCCUUCACCGCUGUACAUCCUGUUGGCAGACACGUGCUGGCAUUAAUUUGUCGGUGCGGGGAGACCACUCGUUUACUUUGAGAAAAUUAAAGUGUUCAAAGCAGGCGCUCGCUUGAAUACAUUAGCAUGGAAUAAUAGUAUAGGACUUUGAUCUUAUUUGUUGGUUUUAAAGAUCAAAGUAAUGAUUGAUAGGGACAGUUGGGGGCAUCAGUAUUCUGAAGCGAGAGGUGAAAUUCUUGGACCUUCGGAAGACUAACAACUGCGAAAGCAUUUGCCAAGGAUGUUCUCUUUAAUCAAGAACGAAAGUUAGGGGA